UGUCUGGCAGUUCCCUACUCUCGCAUGGGGAGACCCCACACUACCAUCGGCGCUACGGCGUUUCACUUCUGAGUUCGGCAUGGGGUCAGGUGGGACCACCGCGCUAAUGCCGCCA
rnacentral:rRNA from 1 species